AUGCACGCUGGCGGCGUGCCUAAUACAUGCAAGUCGAGCGAACAGACGAGGAGCUUGCUCCUCUGACGUUAGCGGCGGACGGGUGAGUAACACGUGGAUAACCUACCUAUAAGACUGGGAUAACUUCGGGAAACCGGAGCUAAUACCGGAUAAUAUAUUGAACCGCAUGGUUCAAUAGUGAAAGACGGUUUUGCUGUCACUUAUAGAUGGAUCCGCGCCGCAUUAGCUAGUUGGUAAGGUAACGGCUUACCAAGGCAACGAUGCGUAGCCGACCUGAGAGGGGGAGCGGCCACACUGGAACUGAGACACGGUCCAGACUCCUACGGGAGGCAGCAGUAGGGAAUCUUCCGCAAUGGGCGAAAGCCUGACGGAGCAACGCCGCGUGAGUGAUGAAGGUCUUCGGAUCGUAAAACUCUGUUAUUAGGGAAGAACAAAUGUGUAAGUAACUAUGCACGUCUUGACGGUACCUAAUCAGAAAGCCACGGCUAACUACGUG
rnacentral:rRNA from 1 species